GAGAUGCGUAGCUGAUGGGAAGCAGGUUAAUAUUCCUGCACCGUCGUAUGAUGCGAUGGGGGGACGGAUCGCGGAAGGUUGUCUGCCUGUUGGAAUAGGCAGUUUCUGGUUCAUAGGAGGCACUUAGGCAAAUCCGGGUGCGUAAUCCAAGGGACUGGGACGAAGAACUUAGGUUCUGUAGCAAUCGGAAGUGGUUCCAAGAAAAGCCUCUAAGCUUCAGUCAUACGAGACCGUACCGCAAACCGACACAGGUGGGCGAGAUGAGUAUUCUAAGGCGCUUGAGAGAACUCGGGAGAAGUAACUCGGCAAAUCGUACCGUAACUUCGGGAAAAGGUACGCCCUUGUAGUUUGACCACUUUACUGUGGAAGGAUGAACGGGUUGCAAUAAACUGGUGGCUGCGACUGUUUAAUAAAAACACAGCACUCUGCAAACACGAAAGUGGACGUAUAGGGUGUGACGCCUGCCCGGUGCUGGAAGAUUAAAUGAUGGGGUGCAAGCUCUUGAUUGAAGUCCCAGUAAACGGCGGCCGUAACGAUAACGGUCCUAAGGUAGCGAAAUUCCUUGUCGGGUAAGUUCCGACCUGCACGAAAGGCGUAACGACUUCCCCACUGUCUCCAAUACAGGCUCAGCGAAAUUGAAUUCCCCGUGAAGAUGCGGGGUUCCCUCGGUCAGACGGAAAGACCCCGUGCACCUUUACUGCAACUUUACACUGGCAUUAGGAAUGGGAUGUGUAGAAUAGGUGGUAGGCUUUGAAGCCGCGGCGCUAGCCGUGGUGGAGCCGAAAUGUGAAAUACCACCCUUCUUGUUCCUGAUGUCUAACCGCGAUCCCGAAACGGGAUCCGAGACAGUGUAUGGUGGGCAGUUUGACUGGGGCGGUCGCCUCCCAAAGAGUAACGGAGGCGCGCGAUGGUAGGCUCAAUCCGGUCGGAAAUCGGAUGGUGAGUGCAAUGGCAAAAGCCUGCCUGACUGCAAGGUCGACGGACCAAGCAGAGACGAAAGUCGGUCAUAGUGAUCCGGUGAUCCCGCGUGGAAGGGUCAUCGCUCAACGGAUAAAAGGUACGCCGGGGAUAACAGGCUGAUCGCACCCAAGCGUCCAUAGCGACGGUGCGGUUUGGCACCUCGAUGUCGGCUCAUCACAUCCUGGGGCUGUAGCCGGUCCCAAGGGUAUGGCUGUUCGCCAUUUAAAGUGGUACGUGAGCUGGGUUUAGAACGUCGUGAGACAGUUCGGUCCCUAUCUGCCGUGGGUGUUCGAAACUUGAGAGGACUUGUUCCUAGUACGAGAGGACCGAACGAACGUAUCUCUGGUGGAUCGGUUGUCACGCCAGUGGCAUAGCCGAGUAGCUAAAUACGGACGAGAUAACCGCUGAAAGCAUCUAAGCGGGAAACUUACCUCAAAACCAGGUUUCGCUUGAGAGCCGGGGAAGACUACCCCGUCGAUAGGCCAGAUGUGUAAGCGCAGCGAUGCGUUGAGCUGACUGGUACUAAUCGCCC
rnacentral:rRNA from 1 species